UACGUAGGUGGCGGGCGUUGUCCGGAUUUACUGGGCGUAAAGGGAGCGUAGGCGGACUUUUAAGUGAGAUGUGAAAUACCCGGGCUCAACUUGGGUGCUGCAUUUCAAACUGGAAGUCUAGAGUGCAGGAGAGGAGAAUGGAAUUCCUAGUGUAGCGGUGAAAUGCGUAGAGAUUAGGAAGAACACCAGUGGCGAAGGCGAUUCUCUGGACUGUAACUGACGCUGAGGCUCGAAAGCGUGGGGAGCAAACAGGAUUAGAUACCCGGGUAGUCCCU
rnacentral:rRNA from 1 species